rnacentral:rRNA from 1 species
CGCGAAGAACCUUACCAAGGCUUGACAUAUACAGGAAUAUGGCAGAGAAUGUCAUAGCCGCAAGGUCCUGUAUACAGGUGGUGCAUGGUUGUCGUCAGCUCGUGUCGUGAGAUGUUGGGUUAAGUCCCCGCAACGAGCGCAACCCUCGUUCUGUGUUGCCAGCAUUUAGUUGGGGACUCACAGGAGACUGCCGGGGUUAACUCGGAGGAAGGUGGGGAUGACGUCAAAUCAUCAUGCCCCUUAUGUCUUGGGCUCACGCAUGCUACAAUGGCUGGUACAAACGGCUGCGAUACCGCAAGGUGGAGCGAAUCCGAUAAAGCCAGUCUCAGUUCGGAUUGGGGUCUGCAACUCGACCCCAUGAAGUCGGAGUUGCUAGUAAUCGUAGAUCAGCAACGCUACGGUGAAUACGUUCCCGGG